rnacentral:tRNA from 1 species
ACCUGGCUGGCUCAGGCGGUAGAGCACGUGACUCUUGAUCUCCAGGUGGUGAGUUCGAGCCCCACAUCGGGUU